AUUAUUAUUGAAAUUAUUACGUUAAAGUGCCUUAAUAUGCAACACGUACCGAUAGCAAGGUGCAGCCGGUCUGGUCCAGUCAUUCAACGUGGUGGUCUUUACCACGUCGUGAUUGUUGUCACACUGGUUGGUCCUCAUUCAGGACCCAGGUGACUACAUCUUCUCUUAACCCUGUCACACUGGUUGGUCCUCAUUCAGGACCCAGGUGACUACAUCUUCUCUUAACCCUGUCACACUGGUUGGUUCUCAUUCAGGACCCAGGUGACUACAUCUUCUCUUAACCCUGUCACACUGGUUGGUCCUCAUUCAGGACCCAGGUGACUACAUCUUCUCUUAACCCUGUCACACUGGUUGGUUCUCAUUCAGGACCCAGGUGACUACAUCUUCUCUUAACCCUGUCACACUGGUUGGUCCUCAUUCAGGACCCAGGUGACUACAUCUUCUCUUAACCCUGUCACACUGGUUGGUUCUCAUUCAGGACCCAGGUGACUACAUCUUCUCUUAACCCUGUCACACUGGUUGGUCCUCAUUCAGGACCCAGGUGACUACAUCUUCUCUUAACCCUGUCACACUGGUUGGUUCUCAUUCAGGACCCAGGUGACUACAUCUUCUCUUAACCCUGUCACACUGGUUGGUUCUCAUUCAGGACCCAGGUGACUACAUCUUCUCUUAACCCUGUCACACUGGUUGGUCCUCAUUCAGGACCCAGGUGACUACAUCUUCUCUUAACCCUGUCACACUGGUUGGUCCUCAUUCAGGACCCAGGUGACUACAUCUUCUCUUAACCCUGUCACACUGGUUGGUCCUCAUUCAGGACCCAGGUGACUACAUCUUCUCUUAACCCUGUCACACUGGUUGGUCCUCAUUCAGGACCCAGGUGACUACAUCUUCUCUUAACCCUGUCACACUGGUUGGUUCUCAUUCAGGACCCAGGUGACUACAUCUUCUCUUAACCCUGUCACACUGGUUGGUCCUCAUUCAGGACCCAGGUGACUACAUCUUCUCUUAACCCUGUCACACUGGUUGGUUCUCAUUCAGGACCCAGGUGACUACAUCUUCUCUUAACCCUGUCACACUGGUUGGUCCUCAUUCAGGACCCAGGUGACUACAUCUUCUCUUAACCCUGUCACACUGGUUGGUUCUCAUUCAGGACCCAGGUGACUACAUCUUCUCUUAACCCUGUCACACUGGCUGGUCCUCAUUCAGGACCCAGGUGACUACAUGUUCUCUUAACCCUGUCACACUGGUUGGUCCUCAUUCAGGACCCAGGUGACUACAUCUUCUCUUAACCCUGUCACACUGGUUGGUCCUCAUUCAGGACCCAGGUGACUACAUCUUCUCUUAACCCUGUCACACUGGUUGGUCCUCAUUCAGGACCCAGGUGACUACAUCUUCUCUUAACCCUGUCACACUGGUUGGUCCUCAUUCAGGACCCAGGUGACUACAUCUUCUCUUAACCCUGUCACACUGGUUGGUCCUCAUUCAGGACCCAGGUGACUACAUCUUCUCUUAACCCUGUCACACUGGUUGGUCCUCAUUCAGGACUCAGGUGACUACAUCUUCUCUUAACCCUGGA